rnacentral:rRNA from 1 species
CCUACGAGUGGCAGCAGUGAGGAAUAUUGGUCAAUGGGCGCGAGCCUGAACCAGCCAAGUAGCGUGAAGGAUGACUGCCCUACGGGUUGUAAACUUCUUUUAUAAAGGAAUAAAGUGAGGCACGUGUGCCUUUUUGUAUGUACUUUAUCAAUAAGGAUCGGCUAACUCCGUGCCAGCAGCCGCGGUAAUACGGAGGAUCCGAGGGUUAUCCGGAUUUAUUGGGUUUAAAGGGAGCGUAGAUGGGUUGUUAAGUCAGUUGUGAAAGUUUGCGGCUAAACCGUAAAAUUGCAAUUGAUACUGGCAGUCUUGAGGACAGUUGAGGUAGGCGGAAUUCGUGGUGUAGCGGUGAAAUGCUUAGAUAUCACGAAGAACUCCGAUUGCGAAGGCAGCUUACUAGACUGCCACUGACAUUGAUGCUCGAAAGUGUGGGUAUCAAACAGGAUUAGAUACCCCAGUAGUC